rnacentral:rRNA from 1 species
UACGGAAGGCAGCAGUGGGGAAUAUUGCACAAUGGGCGAAAGCCUGAUGCAGCUAUGCCGCGUGUAUGAAGAAGGCCUUAGGGUUGUAAAGUACUUUUCAUCGGGGAGGAAAAAACAAAAACUAAUAAUUUUUAUUUUCUUUGACGUUACCCGAAAAAGGAAGCACCGGCUAACUCCGUGCCAGCAGCCGCGGUAAUACGGAGGGUGCUAGCGUUAAUCAGAAUUACUGGGCGUAAAGAGCACGUAGGUGGUUUUUUUAAGUUCAGAUGUGAAAUCCCUGGGCUUAACCUAGGAACUGCAUUUUGAAACUGAAAUACUAGAGUAUCGUAGAGGGAGGUAGAAUUCUAGGUGUAGCGGUGAAAUGCAUAGAUAUCUGGAGGAAUACCUGUGGCGAAAGCGGCCUCCUAAACGAAUACUGACACUGAGGUGCGAAAGCGUGGGGAGCAAACAGGGAUUAGAUACC